rnacentral:rRNA from 1 species
AAUCAACGCUGGCGGCGCGCUUAACACAUGCAAGUCGCACGAGAAAGGGAGCAAUCCUGAGUAAAGUGGCGUACGGGUGAGUAACACGUGGGAAUCUACCUCUUGGCGGGGAAUAACCCUGGGAAACCGGGGCUAAUACCGCAUAAGCUCGUGAGAGGAAAGCAGCAAUGCACCGAGAGAGGAGCCCGCGGCCGAUUAGCUAGUUGGUGGGGUAAUGGCUCACCAAGGCGAAGAUCGGUAGCCGGCCUGAGAAGGCACACGGCCACACUGGCACUGAAACACGGGCCAGACUCCUACGGGAGGCAGCAGUGGGGAAUCUUGCACAAUGGGGGAAACCCUGAUGCAGCGACGCCGCGUGAGCGAUGAAGCCCUUCGGGGUGUAAAGCUCUUUCGACAGGAACGAUAAUGACGGUACCUGGAGAAGAAGCUGCGGCUAACUACGUG